GGUUGUGGCUCAGCGGUAGAGCACUCGCCUAGCACGAGCGAGGCCCUGGGUUCAAUCCUCAGCACCA
rnacentral:tRNA from 1 species